rnacentral:snoRNA from 1 species
GGCGAGGCUAGAGUCACACCUGGACACGGCUCGUUGUCCUGGUGUGCUAUAGCGCUCGCAGAGGAACCCUCAGAGUUUAUUCAUUGGCUGCAGUCUCCUCGUGGCCCGGCCAAUCACCGACUCUGAUACACUC